UCACAAUGAAAAAACAGGCUUUGAGAGGAGAGGGCAGAACCAAGACACUUGGUACAGAGAUAAAAGAGGAAAGGACUAAGAACUGAACCUUGAAGCACACCUGUAGAGAGCAACAUGGAAGGAGGGAGUGUCAAGGUAGAAACAAAGCAGUCAAGAGCUGUGUCACAAACCCCCAAGGUGGUCAGGGAAGACAGCUGGAAAUGGUGGUCAACCAUGUCAAAAGUUGCACGUAAUUGGAAUACAUGACAGGUUAGGACCGGUGAUCUUUUAAAACUUAAAACAUGCCUUCUUUAUUUUCUGUUUUUCACAGGCAGAAGCUCAUGCGACCGCAAACUUUAAAUUUGGAGACAUGAUUUCAUUUACUCGUUACCUUAAUGCAUAUGAGCACUAUGGCAUAUUUGUUGGAAGCCAUUCUUUUAAGGAGAAAAAACCAUACCAGGAUCUUUUCCAUUUCUCAGGACCUUCUUCUUCUAAAAAAGAUGAUAUUAGGUGUCGCUUUAGUACAGUACUGGAAACGGCUGGUGAAGAUACAUUCAAAAAAAAUAACCUCCAUGAUAACCAAAUUGGCUGGACUGUAAAUUCAGUAGAAAACAUGGCGCAGAUUAUCACAGCUCUGGCGAAAGAUGGGUGUGAAUCAUACAGCGUACGGACCAAUAACUGUGAGCAUGUGGCUACAUACAUCCGAUAUGGCAAAUUUUAUUCGGAGCAGGUAUGUGAUUCUUCAAACUUUUGAUAUGGAGUGCACUCAUUUCCACCAAUUACAAUGAUAAAGCAAUGAAUUUUAAUUACCCUCAC